ensembl:lncRNA uncharacterized LOC115336896
GGUAAAUGGAUAUGCUUUUCAUCAGUACCUCUGUUGGUAGAGCACAUGCUGUCUGCAGUCUCAAGAAAAAACAGAGGUUUAUGUAUAAAAAGCAAGAUCUUCACAAGACUGUGGGAUCUGUCUUCAUUUAUUGGUUGGAAGAGCUAUUCUAAGAUGAAGUCUGGUGUGAUAUGAAAGAAUAUUUAACUGAAGCAAUUCAAGUUUUGCCAGAAGUUUUUAACACAUCUAGAGAAAAUUACUUAACACAAACCAAGCAUUCUUCAACAAGGGCUAACAGAAAAGAUGGAUGUCAACAGCGGUCUUACCAUUUUACCAGGAGUAUCAACUCACUCCCCUCUAACAAAGACCAUGGGCCUGAAUUGACCCUUACAAAGGAAUUCAGCCAGACUGGUGAAGCAUGAGUCACAGGGGAAGCUGACUUGAAAAUGAGUAUUCUUUGGCUUCUGCUUUUCUCUCCCUUUUCCCACCAUCUUCCCUGACUUAAAGUUCUCAAUUUCUUUUCUUCCUGAUAUGCAGCCUAACAAUCAAAAUAUUUUAUUAAAAAUUAUCUUUAGGAAUGGAAGGAAGAUACAUGGAAGAACAAAACCACCAGCUGGAAAUACAGGAAGGGGCUACAAAGAAAGAAGCUAGAAGCAACUUCAAAUGACACAGAGAAUUAAUAUUAUUCAUGUUUUGAGGAACCACACAAAAAAGGUUACCCAGCCCUGAAAAACUGUGUCAAUACUCAGAAGCAGUACCAUUGCAUGUAACAAGUUAAUAUUUUGGAGUUGUGACAGUUGCUUUCCAUGUCUAAAUUAAUCCAAAACAGAGUUUAUUGUUAAACUGACUAUCCUUUAAGAGAAAAAGCUUGUUCGCAAUGUUACAGAGUUCAAAACUGUGUUGCAGCUUAGUUAAAAAAACGUAACAGACCUUCUUCCCCCAAAACAUUAUUAAUUAAUUAUUAGUUGGGUGAUAAGUUAAGGUUUAAUUCCCAAUAUGUUUUUCUGGUCUGGCAGAAUAAUGUUGCUGGACAGCUAAGUAAAAACAUUGCCACGCUGAUUGCAGCAGUGAAUCUGCACUUGGCACCUAUGCUCACCAGAGAUGUGCCAGUCUUUGUACAUAGAGGUUGAAGGUAUUUUUAUUUGAGAGUCUUCAAUGCUUUCUGUGGGAAUGAAAUGCCAGGUAUCAGCCAAAUUAAAAUAUUCUCCACUUGUCUUAAAAUAUUUCUGCCAGAUAAUCAGAUGGCUUCAUAAUGAAAUGUAUUUUAAACUUGAAGUAUAGAAGCAGUAUUAUUAGCUUUAUCCAGCCAGUACAUUUAAAUGUUUUUCACAUUAUUCGUGUCACUACAGAGAAUUAAUUCACAGCUGUAGGCUGGUUUGUCAGUUUUGAGACACUGUAAUAAAUCUGUCACAAAUGCCACCAUACAAAUACCUUACAUGCUCUUAAUGGGAAUGUUCCUUUUCUUUCCUUUUGAAUUUUAACAUCCUUUUAUUUGUGAUUUAAGGCAAGAAAAAGCUACAAAGACCAAUUACAAAGAACUUUGCUACGACGUGCAAGCAGAAGGUGGAAGUGACAAGAUUACUGACUGCUAGGAGACAGCACUUUUUUAAAAGAGUGGGCACUGGGUCUCAGUAGGUGGUGCUGUGGGUAGAAAAGACUGCUCUAGCUGUCAGGAAGACGGAAAUUUAUUACUACACAAAGAAGUUCAAGAAUACAGUUUAUAGGUGAUCGGUAUAAUCUCAAAUAUCUGAAGUUUAUAAGCAGGAGGAGAAGAAAAAGUAUGUGUUCUACUGCAUUAUCUUCCAUUUUUCCCAAUGAUGAGACUGAAAUGAAUGCAGCAUUAAAAAAGAUAGACUAAGUGCCAGAAAAAUAUUCUUGCAACAGAAUAUGUGAGAAAUCAGUACGACAUCAUGGACAUAUUAGUGCUGACAAUUUUAGUAUUAGAUAGCUUGUAUAUAUCCUUAGGUAAGUGUGAUUUUCAAAGCAAUCACUCCUACAAGUAUAAUGCACUGUUAAAGAUAGGCAAAACAUGGCCUUUUUCUGCCUGAACAUGCAGGCACUGUGGUCAAAGAAAACCACCCUCCCCUGGUGCACAGGCAUGUUUUCCUAAUGUGCACUGAAUACAGGUAUGUGGUGGUGCAUUUCCACCCCCCUCUGGGCUGAUCUACCAACUCAGGCAGUCUCGCUAGUCCUUAGCGUAAGUGUAAUGAGUCGGGUGGUUAAGCAUCCCUUGACCAUACCAGAAACUCUUGCACAGCUAAGACAGGGAGCUGCACCGACGGUACCAAGGCAGAGUAGGGAUAAUUAGUCAUUUCCUGACAACCCUGGGACAUAUCUCAGUCCUCUCCUGACAGCCUUAGAGCAUCCCGUAUCUGAAUCUUAAGUCAUUCCCUGACAGGCUUGGAAUGGUAACUCACAUGAAACGGUACCAGCACAGCUGGAAUCCCAGUAAUUUGUUGAUGGCUAGAGCCAAUCGUAUCCUGAACCUAUAAACAGCGGUACUAAGUGAGACCCUUUGAGCUCUCCCGGACCGCAGUGGGCUGUGACCAGCAUCUCCCUCUGCGGGGGACACUUCUCGGAGCUCGCAGACUCUUCAGCUGGUGCAUAUCGGCGGUUUGUCACCAAAAGCCGAUGGGACUUGGGCUGAUACUCUCUGCUCCCUGAGGAUCGACCCUUCACCCGUUCAGAAAGAUGCUGAAGCAUUCGACGUGAAUAUUUUCACUGAACUCAAGGGGAAUUUUUAACGGGUAUACCUCUUUCACUUGCUUCUAUGAUUCUAUAUCUCUUUGUCUCUUUGUGCAUGUGUGUGUGUACUAACCUGAAUAUUCUACAGGAAGUGUACUAAUCUGUACAUAAGUUGCUGUUGUGAAUUUUAUUCAACUGUGAAUAAAUCUCAGGCUGCUAUUAUAAUCCCUUUAGACAUAAACCGUUGACCAAGUCUGGGACUAGGAGUCGAUCAAGCCGCACCUGGACUCCGACAGGAGUUUAGAGAGCAAGGGGGUCUUCUCUGAACCUUGUGACUCAAUGGGAGGUCUCCUUUACCCUUUUUACAUUCCCCAUCUCUGCACAAAUAACAAGAAAUCAAUUCUAACUCAAUUUUCUUUUGUAUGUUUCUCUUUUACCCUACUGCGUCUUCAGUCUCUGUAUACCUAAUUUUAGUUUGAUUCUAACUUAAUUUUCCUGUGUAUGUUUCAUCCAUGUAUUAAGUAAUAGAGUGAACCUUGCAUCAGAUUCUGUGAAGGUGAGCUUUUAUAAAUUCCUAUUAAAUCAGUUUUGCUA